UACAGUUAAAUCCCAGCAGCUCUCAUUCUAUGGUAGAAACAAACAUGUUGCUGAAUCUCUCCUAUCGUUAAAACAUGCCAUUUUAUAAAAGUGACUGGUGAAGGCAGUGUCUAUACUUUAGGUGUACUCUGUACCUCAUUGUGAAGGUUUAAAGGGACAGGUGUAUUAGUGUACUCUGUACCUCAUUGUGAAGGUUUAAAAGGGACAGGUGUAUUAGUGUACUCUGUACCUCAUUGUGAAGGUUUAAAGGGACAGGUGUAUUAGUGUACUCUGUACCUCAUUGUGAAGGUUUAAAAGGGACAGGUGUAUUGGUGUACUCUGUACCUCAUUGUGAAGGUUUAAAUGGACAGGUGUAUUAGUGUACUCUGUACCUCAUUGUGAAGGUUUAAAAGGGACAGGUGUAUUGGUGUACUCUGUACCUCAUUGUGAAGGUUUAAAUGGACAGGUGUAUUAGUGUACUCUGUACCUCAUUGUGAAGGUUUAAAAGGGACAGGUGUAUUGGUGUACUCUGUACCUCAUUGUGAAGGUUUAAAUGGACAGGUGUAUUAGUGUACUCUGUACCUCAUUGUGAAGGUUUAAAAGGGACAGGUGUAUUAGUGUACUCUGUACCUCAUUGUGAAGGUUUAAAGGGACAGGUGUAUUAGUGUACUCUGUACCUCAUUGUGAAGGUUUAAAAGGGACAGGUAUUAGUGUACUCUGUACCUCAUUGUGAAGGUUUAAAAGGGACAGGUGUAUUAGUGUACUCUGUACCUCAUUGUGAAGGUUUAAAAGGGACAGGUGUAUUAGUGUACUCUGUACCUCAUUGUGAAGGUUUAAAUGGACAGGUGUAUUAGUGUACUCUGUACCUCAUUGUGAAGGUUUAAAGGGACAGGUGUAUUGGUGUACUCUGUACCACAUUGUGAAGGUUUAAAGGGACAGGUACAGUAUGUUGUAUUUACA